UUUCUUCCUCCACCCACGGCUGCAGCUGGAUUUGGAUUAAUUAGAAUUAAGGGCUGUCGAGAGCCAACAGCCUUGUGUAGGGGAAGGGGAGAGAGCUGGAGCCAGAAGACAAGCCAGAGCCUCUGACUAUGACAAGAUGUUUUUGUGCCUGGGAUACGCCGGAAGAUAAAGACUGGGAGCCUCUGGCAUAGUCUGUCCUUGCUGGAUAGAUUCGCAAAUGCUCCGGGAGAAGUUGUCGCUGCCUUGCUUCUUCUUCCAGACCAGAGAGGCUGUUCUGGAACAGGCGGUGGAACAUGAAAGAGGCUAUUGAAAACGUCAAUGACUGGGAAACAGCAACCAACACCCACGAGCAGAUUUUGUGAGGCAUAAAAUCACAUCGCUGCUUCUGAACGUGGCCUGGCCAGGGACUCAUUUGGCUCCCCUUGGAAAACUGGAUAGAAAAACUGCACCGAACGAGGCUAGAGCUUUGUAUUAACCAUAACAUCAGAGAACGCAUUGCCAUUUGCCUUGA